CUUCGGGCAUCCUUUGUUUAGGUCAGUGUAAUCGACACACAUUAUCCACAAGACCUUUUGGAGCAGGAGACUUUCCUUGGUCAGAUUCUUCUUAACAAGGACAACAUUUGCUACCCACGUUGGAUAAUUGACUUCGCGGACGAAGCCUAUGCUUUUGAGUUUUUCAACUUCUGCCUUCAUUGCCUCGUACCGUUCAGCGUCAUAAGACCUUCGCUUCUGUCUCACUGGCUUGGUUUUGGAGUCAAUACUUAAGCGAUGACAGAUGAUAUCGGGAGAGAUGUCUGGCAUGUCCUCGUAUAACCAGGCGAAGACCUCAGUGUUCUCUUGCAAAAAAGAGAUCAAUGCC
rnacentral:lncRNA from 1 species